rnacentral:rRNA from 1 species
GACAGAGGGUGCAAACGUUGUUCGGAAUUACUGGGCGUAAAGCGUGCGCAGGCGGUUCGUUAAGUCAGAUGUGAAAGCCCCGGGCUCAACCUGGGAACUGCAUUUGAAACUGGCGGGCUUGAGUGUGGCAGAGGGGGGUGGAAUUCCGCGUGUAGCAGUGAAAUGCGUAGAUAUGCGGAGGAACACCGAUGGCGAAGGCAAUCCCCUGGGCCUGCACUGACGCUCAUGCACGAAAGCGUGGGGAGCAAACAGG